CAGUAGCCGCGGUAAUACGUAGGUGGCAAGCGUUGUCCGGAAUUAUUGGACGUAAAGGGCUCGCAGGCGGUUUCUUAAGUCUGAUGUGAAAGCCCCCGGCUCAACCGGGGAGGGUCAUUGGAAACUGGGAAACUUGAGUGCAGAAGAGGAGAGUGGAAUUCCACGUGUAGCGGUGAAAUGCGUAGAGAUGUGGAGGAACACCAGUGGCGAAGGCGACUCUCUGGUCUGUAACUGACGCUGAGGAGCGAAAGCGCGGGGAGCGAACAGGAUUAGAUACCCGCGUAGUCCCUGUCUCUUAUAC
rnacentral:rRNA from 1 species